rnacentral:rRNA from 1 species
GACGAACGCUGGCGGCGUGCUUAACACAUGCAAGUCGAGCGGUAAGGCCCUUUCGGGGGUACACGAGCGGCGAACGGGUGAGUAACACGUGGGUGACCUGCCCUCAGCUCUGGGAUAAGCCUGGGAAACCGGGUCUAAUACUGGAUAUGACUCCAUGACGCAUGUUGUGGGGUGGAAAGCCUUGUGCGGCUGAGGAUGGGCCCGCGGCCGAUUAGCUAGUUGGUGGGGAAUGGCCCACCAAGGCGACGAUCGGUAGCUGGUCUGAGAGGACGAUCAGCCACACUGGGACUGAGACACGGCCCAGACUCCUACGGGAGGCAGCAGUGGGGAAUCUUGCGCAAUGGGCGAAAGCCUGACGCAGCGACGCCGCGUGCGGGAAGAAGGCCU